rnacentral:rRNA from 1 species
AUUGAACGCUGGCGGCAGGCUUAACACAUGCAAGUCGAACGGUAACAGGAGAGAGCUUGCUUUCUUGCUGACGAGUGGCGGACGGGUGAGCAAUGCUUGGGAAUCUGGCUUAUGGAGGGGGAUAACGACGGGAAACUGUCGCUAAUACCGCGUAGAGUCGAGAGACGAAAGUGCGGGACCGCAAGGCCGCAUGCCAUAGGAUGAGCCCAAGUGGGAUUAGGUAGUUGGUGGGGUAAUGGCCUACCAAGCCGACGAUCUCUAGCUGGUCUGAGAGGAUGACCAGCCACACCGGGACUGAGACACGGCCCGGACUCCUACGGGAGGCAGCAGUGGGGAAUAUUGCGCAAUGGGGGCAACCCUGACGCAGCCAUGCCGCGUGAAUGAAGAAGGCCUUCGGGUUGUAAAGUUCUUUCGGUGACGAGGAAGGCGUGAUGUUUAAUAGGCAUCACGAUUGACGUUAAUCACAGAAGAAGCACCGGCUAACUCCGUGCCAGCAGCCGCGGUAAUACGGAGGGUGCGAGCGUUAAUCGGAAUAACUGGGCGUAAAGGGCACGCAGGCGGCUAUUUAAGUGAGGUGUGAAAUCCCCGGGCUUAACCUGGGAAUUGCACUUCAGACUGGGUAGCUAGAGUACUUUAGGGAGGGGUAGAAUUCCACGUGUAGCGGUGAAAUGCGUAGAGAUGUGGAGGAAUACCGAAGGCGAAGGCAGCCCCUUGGGAAUGUACUGACGCUCAUGUGCGAAAGCGUGGGGAGCAAACAGG